rnacentral:lncRNA from 1 species
GCCACAUCCCCAGGAGCGCUUGGGCCCUGGAACCCGGCAGCCGCGUGGGGUGUCGCCCUGGCCUCCCGAGUCACAGAUGCUGCAGCCCGAGGCGGGUGACCUCACUGUAGACAGGAUGCCGUCCCCGCCUAAGAGGGUUGACCCUGGUGCAGCUGCAGGACGAGGAGCACCUGCUUGGGAUGGGCUCAGGCAUGCAGACACCAGGAGCCUUUAGGGCCGCCCUGCCCCCUCACCUGAGCGCCGGCACUGUGGGGGACCUCGGCCGGCCCCUGGCUCCUGCGGGCAUUUUCUUGCAGGUCGCAGGACAGACAUCCUGGAAGCAGACCAGGGGGGCUGCGCCCCAUUCCCAGAAAGUCCCAGGCCUGGGCAAACACCUGGUCUCGCUGCUGCGAGGGUCAGUGUCUGUCGCCUUCACCGCUUCCACCCCUCUCGCCCACGACGGAGCAGGUGCUCCCGGGGGCGCCAAGUCAAUCUGGACUGGUAAUACCUGACGCAUGCCCUUCUCUUGCUCUCUACAUUGGCUUGAAUGCACGCACAUCCGCAUGCAGGACUGGAACGAAACGACCGCCCACAUUUUACCGUGUAGGGUAAGGACGGUUCAAGACAGGACCACCUUUCCUUUUACCCUUAAGAACCUUAAGGACCU